CAUAGGUUAAUGAGGCGAACCGGGGGAACUGAAACAUCUAAGUACCCCGAGGAAAAGAAAUCAACCGAGAUUCCCCCAGUAGCGGCGAGCGAACGGGGAGCAGCCCAGAGCCUGAAUCAGUGUGUGUGUUAGUGGAAGCGUCUGGAAAGGCGCGCGAUACAGGGUGACAGCCCCGUACACAAAAAUGCACAUACUGUGAGCUCGAUGAGUAGGGCGGGACACGUGGUAUCCUGUCUGAAUAUGGGGGGACCAUCCUCCAAGGCUAAAUACUCCUGACUGACCGAUAGUGAACCAGUACCGUGAGGGAAAGGCGAAAAGAACCCCGGCGAGGGGAGUGAAAAAGAACCUGAAACCGUGUACGUACAAGCAGUGGGAGCCUCUUUAUGGGGUGACUGCGUACCUUUUGUAUAAUGGGUCAGCGACUUAUAUUCUGUAGCAAGGUUAACCGAAUAGGGGAGCCGAAGGGAAACCGAGUCUUAACUGGGCGUUAAGUUGCAGGGUAUAGACCCGAAACCCGGUGAUCUAGCCAUGGGCAGGUUGAAGGUUGGGUAACACUAACUGGAGGACCGAACCGACUAAUGUUGAAAAAUUAGCGGAUGACUUGUGGCUGGGGGUGAAAGGCCAAUCAAACCGGGAGAUAGCUGGUUCUCCCCGAAAGCUAUUUAGGUAGCGCCUCGUGAAUUCAUCUCCGGGGGUAGAGCACUGUUUCGGCAAGGGGGUCAUCCCGACUUACCAACCCGAUGCAAACUGCGAAUACCGGAGAAUGUUAUCACGGGAGACACACGGCGGGUGCUAACGUCCGU
rnacentral:rRNA from 1 species